GCCAGGCGUUCGAGACCAGCCUGAGCAAGAACAAGACCGCCGUCUCUACAAAAAAAGAAGAAGAAAAUGUCUGGCAUGAGAGUUUUCUGCCUGGUUCCUGUAAUCAUGGAGUUUGCAGCCCGGUUAGGCCUUACAGGAAAGAUCAAUGGCGAUGAAUAGAAAGAACAAGAACUGAAGCACAAAUACAAAGUAACUCAACAAAUGAAGUGAAACAAGGCCUUCGAGUGUGGACUGAAUUAUACCAUUGGGUUUCCUGGGUCUCCUGCUUGCAGACGGCAGAUUGUGGGACUUCUCAGAUUCCAGGCUCACAUGAGCUGAUUCUUCAUGCUAAAUCUCCACGUUUGUAUAUAAAUCUACUGGUUCUGUCUCUCUGGAGAACUCGGACUAAUGCAGGUAUCUAUUGGCAUUUGGGGGAGACCAAUUUUUCUUUGGGCAGGGCUGUUCUGUACGUUGCAAGGUGUUAAGCCUUCUUGGCCUUGUCUUGAAAUACUGAUAGCAUUCCUUAAUCAUUCAGAAAACACAUUUCCUUCCAUGACCCCAAAUUUCAAAAGUCCCCUGGAGAGCAGUUCUGCAUCUAGUUCAACCACUCCUAAGCUGUAGGGGAGAGAGUGUCCUUUGUUCUUUGUGUCACAGAAGAUGAGAUUAAUCCUGGCAGAGGUCAGGAGAUUGUUUUAGCCAAAGGUGGGACAAUGGAAUUAAUCAGAACCUUCAGAAGCUCUGUACUUUUGCUCAGAGGACAUUGGUACUUUGAGAUGGGAGUCUGCUGGCCUCCUCAUUUGCCAGCAAAUUAAUA